rnacentral:rRNA from 1 species
GUCUUUUUGAUAAUAAUUUAAAGUCUAGCCUGCCCAAUGAGGAGUUCAAUGGCCGCGGUAAUUUGACCGUGCAAAGGUAGCAUAAUCAUUAGUUUUUUAAUUGAAAGCUGGUAUGAAUGGCUGGACGAGAAAGAAGCUGUCUCUUUCUAAUUUUGGUUAGAAUUUUACUUUUGAGUAAAAAGGCUCAAAUACAUUUAAAAGACGAGAAGACCCUAUAGAGUUUUAUACAUCCUUCUGCUUUUGAAGCUUAAGAUUUUUUAUUCUAGGGCAUUUGUAUGUGUUUUGUUGGGGCGACAGGAAAAUUAGUCUAACUUUUCUUUAUUUUUAACAUUAAUGUAUGUUUUAGUGAUCCAUUUUAGUAUGAUUAUAAGAAUUAAUUACCUUAGGGAUAACAGCGUAAUUUUCUUUGAGAGUUCUUAUCGAAAAGAGAGUUUGCGACCUCGAUGUUGGAUUAAAGUUAAUCUGUGGUGCAGAAGCUACAGUAUUAGAUCUGUUCGAUCUUUGAAACUUUACAUGAUCUGAGU